GAUGAACGCUGGCGGCGUGCCUAAUACAUGCAAGUCGAGCGAACGGACGAGAAGCUUGCUUUUCUGAUGUUAGCGGCGGACGGGUGAGUAACACGUGGAUAACCUACCUAUAAGACUGGGAUAACUUCGGGAAACCGGAGCUAAUACCGGAUAAUAUUUUGAACCGCAUGGUUCAAAAGUGAAAGACGGUCUUGCUGUCACUUAUAGAUGGAUCCGCGCUGCAUUAGCUAGUUGGUAAGGUAACGGCUUACCAAGGCAACGAUGCAUAGCCGACCUGAGAGGGUGAUCGGCCACACGGGAACUGAGACACGGUCCAGACUCCUACGGGAGGCAGCAGUAGGGAAUCUUCCGCAAUGGGCGAAAGCCUGACGGAGCAACGCCGCGUGAGUGAUGAAGGUCUUCGGAUCGUAAAACUCUGUUAUUAGGGAAGAACAUAUGUGUAAGUAACUGUGCACAUCUUGACGGUACCGAAUCAGAAAGCCACGGCUAACUACGU
rnacentral:rRNA from 1 species